CGGUUCAAUUAUUUUGUGGCCGGUUCGAUUUGUCCGGUUCAAAACAAUCGAACCGGCGGUUCAACCGGUUCCUAACGGUUGGACCAUUGAACCAUUGAACCGACGGCCUCGCCGGUUGGAUUUCCGGUCCGGUCCUAAAAACUAUGCUUAGUAUACAUGUAAUCUAUAAUAGAUGUGAUGUUCUAUAAUAUAUGUAAUGAUGUUCUAUGAUGUAUUUAGUGAUGUUAAUGUUCUAUAAUAUAUUUAAUGAUGUUUUAUGAUGUAUUUAGUGAUGUUAAUGUUCUAUAAAUAUAUUUACGAUAUUUAAAAAGUAACCCUUUGACAUUAUUUGAAUUUUUCUCCAUUUUGUGUUUUUAUUUUUUUUCUUAUGCUUUUUACUCUAGAUUUUUUAUUAUUUUUAUCUAUGUCAUGUAUUUAUGUAUUUUUAUGUAUAUUGUAAUAUCAGUUUCAUAAACCUAAAACCAAAAUACUAUUCUUCUAAAUCGAUAACAUUUUUUUACAAAGACUGAACAUUGUCUGUUGAACCUAGAAUAUUGUUUCUACUUAAUAAAAGAAAAUAUUUUAUCUUUAUAAGAUAAAUAUUCAUUAAUAAAAUUUUAUCUAAAUAUAUCUAUGUGUGAUCUUGUUUUGAAGGAUUUGUUAUAAAAAAUUUAAUGGUGCAAUUAGAAUUUAAUUUAUAUCUCAAGUUUAGGAGUUAUGACUUUUUUAAUUCGCUAAAACAAUUUUGCAUGCAUAGGUGAGUGGGGCCUAGGUUGAUAGGAUAGCGUGUCAUCGUGCAGUAAAAAAAGGGAUGAAAGUUGUGGAUAAGUCCUCUCCAUAAUUUUUAGUUGUAGAGAUAAAUAUUAAUUAAUUAAAUUUUAUCUAAAUAUAUCUAUGUAUGAUCUUGUUUUGAAGGAUUUGUUAUGAGAAAUUUAAUGGUGCAAUCGGCAUUUAAUUUAUAUCUUCGGUUUAAAAGUUAUAACUUUUUAAAUUCGCUAAAACAAUUUUGCAUGUAUGGGUGAGUGGGGCCUAGGUUGAUGGGAUAGCCUAUCAUGGCUAAAAGGGAUGAGAGUUGUGGCUUCACCAUGGGUGUGGUAGAUGGGUCAUUUCCAUAAUUUUUAGUUGUAGAGAUUAUGUAUAUUGUAAUAUCAGUUUCAUAAACCUAAAACCAAAAUACUAUUCUUCUAAAUCGAUAACAUUUUUUUACAAAGACUGAACAUUGUCUGUUGAACCUAGAAUAUUGUUUCUACUUAAUAAAAGAAAAUAUUUUAUCUUUAUAAGAUAAAUAUUCAUUAAUAAAAUUUUAUCUAAAUAUAUCUAUGUGUGAUCUUGUUUUGAAGGAUUUGUUAUAAGAAAUUUAAUGGUGCAAUCAGAAUUUAAUUUAUAUCUCAAGUUUAGGAGUUAUGACUUUUUUUAUUCGUUAAAACAAUUUUGCAUGCAUAGGUGAGUGGGGCCUAGGUUGAUGGGACAGCGUGUCAUUGCGCACUAAAAAAGACCACCAAAGGGAUGAAAGUUGUGGAUGGGUCCUCUUCAUAAUUUUUAGUUGUAGAGAUAAAUAUUAAUUAUUAAAAUUUUAUCUAAAUAUAUCUAUGUGUGAUCUUGUUUUGAAGGAUUUGUUAUGAGAAAUUUAAUGGUGCAAUCGGAAUUUAAUUUAUAUCUUCGGUUUAAAAGUUAUGACUUUUUUAAAUUUGCUAAAACAAUUUUGCAUGCAUGAGUGAGUGAGGCCUAGGUUGAUG
rnacentral:lncRNA from 1 species